rnacentral:rRNA from 1 species
UUGGGUUAAGUACCCGCAACGAGCGCAACCCCUAUUGUUAGUUGCCAUCAUUCAGUUGGGCACUCUAGCGAGACUGCCGGUAAUAAACCGGAGGAAGGUGGGGAUGACGUCAAAUCAUCAUGCCCCUUAUGACCUGGGCUACACACGUGCUACAAUGGUUGGUACAACGAGUUGCGAGUCGGUGACGGCGAGCUAAUCUCUUAAAGCCAAUCUCAGUUCGGAUUGUAGGCUGCAACUCGCCUACAUGAAGUCGGAAUCGCUAGUAAUCGCGGAUCAGCACGCCGCGGUGAAUACGUUCCCGGGCCUU